rnacentral:rRNA from 1 species
GGUAAAAAAAGGAGUGUCAAAAUCGAUAGAAGGCAGGACUGCUCCCCGACGGUUGGCAAGCUUCAGGCUGUCGGUAAGCUUUUGUCGUAGAGGCCAACAAAAGGAGAGUAUGUGGGUAGAACUUUAGAAAAUUUAUGGUGCCCUUUUACUCUGCUUGAGUGCAAAGAUCUUGUUAGAAAUCACUUUCUAUCCACUUUCCAUGAUGAGAGUAGCAAGAAGAAAGCUCUGGAUAGUGGGCCGUGGAGUUUCAACAAGGAUCUGAUAAUUGAAAAAUGUGUGUCCAGUAAAACAAUUGAUGACUAUGAAUUUAAUUUUAUUCCAAUCUGGGUCAGAGUUUAUGGUAUUUCCAUGAGCAUGAUGAGUUCCCAAACAGGAGAAUUGAUUGGGAAGAAUAUUGCAGAAGUACUUGACAUUGACCUUGAUCAUGAUGGAACUGUGAUGGGCGAAUUUAUGAGAAUUAAGAUACGGGGAAUAACAAGAUUUAUUACUUUAGAAAUUGAAAAUGACGAGGAAGAACAAGAGGACAUGUACGAGGAGUUGACAGGUGCUGAUGCGGAGGAAAAAAAUAAAGGGGAGAAAGAGAGGAAGAUUAUUUAUUUCAAAUAA